CGCUCGAGGUCAACUCAACAAGAGCAAAAGUGGAUCAAUUACCAAAUGAUGUAGAGAUAUGCCAAGGUAUUUGACAUAUCACCCCAACAACAACAAUGGCUGACAAAUCACUUGGGUCAUACAGUAGACGUCCAUAAAAUACAUUAUAGGCAGAUCUCGGGGGUCAUUGAGCCUGUGGACAUUUCCAAACUUGUGCUGUUAACAGUGUAUGGCCUGACUGUGAAAAAUGCUUGCAGAAAAUUGACAGAUAUCACACUGGAAGGUCAUUUGACUCACAUAGGUGACCUAUUGCUAUUUGGUUCCCAUCAAGCGUCUGAUAACACUUUGAAGUUGAAUCAAGAGUCAAAUACAAAUGUGUACUGAUGAUCUAAUUGCAGCAUGAAUAAAGUGGAUGGAGGCAAAACUGAAGGAGGUGCAUGAAUAUUUCAGAGAAUGUUUGAACACAAACACCACUCCAGGAAGUCUGACAUUAUUAAAGCGGGUUAUAAAACUUCAUUUAACAUAAAAUUAUAAAAGAAUGAAUUUUGGGUGUGUAUGAUUGCUGUACAUUCUUGGAUUUUCUCAAACUAAAAUUCAUCCUUAGUAUUUAAAAAAGUGGAAAUUCUGUGGCAUAUCAAUAGGGCAUAUUUAAACUGUA